rnacentral:lncRNA from 1 species
CCCCUGGCCUGCCCGGCUCCCAGGCUGCCUCCCUCAGACCUCCGGCGCCGCGUCUCUCCCGCCCUGGCCUGAGUUCCCGCCGCGCUCUUGGGCCUGAGGGACCCGCGUGGAGCUCGCAGCGCCUCGGAAACUGGGGGAGGCAAGGCUGCACAAUGACCCAGACGGUGCCUUCUGCCAGGGGCGGCCCUGCCUGGGCAGCUUAUAGGAUGACAGCCUGCUCGCGGGCUUCCUGAGGAGGCUCCUGCCCGCCGAGUGUCUUGCUAAGUCACUAAAUCCAGUUGCCCAAGAUGGAUUUGAAUGUGUGAUCCUCCUGCCUCAGCCUCCUGGAGCUAAAAUUACAGGGUUGGAUAUCGGAGGGCUUGAGAGUCAAAAAAAGAAGAGGCCUGAACACAGCCAGGAAACCAAGCACUCCAGUCGAUAGAGCCAAAGUCUCUGAAGAAGAGGCAAGGGCAGUUGGAGGGAAGAGGAGAGGAAAAACAGAAGUCGUUCUGGGCACAAGAAACUGAGCAGGUACAGGUGAAAAAGAGGCCCCAUUGCCUCAGGGCGGGGAGGCUGCAUGGCAGACAAGCAGGAUUCCUGCCAUCUCCCACAGGGACCACAUGAGAGUUAAAGUGUGGGGGCUCAGUC